ensembl:lncRNA
GGGCGCCGCGCUGGUCGGUUAAGACGCGGCGAGGCGCCAUUUCGCCCUCCCCGGCCCGCGCCGCGGCUGAGCCCGCGGUGAGCGGCGCGCCGAGGCCACCGCCGCCUGCAGCAGAAGCCAGCGCUCCGAAACGCCUGUUAAGUAGGCUGUCCGCAAGGAAACGUGAUCUGAAGAGGAAGGGGAAAGUUCAGAGUGGUUCCCCCAGAGCCUCGCAGCCCUGGCAGCGGCCAGACAUCCGUCCCAGCUCGUUGCUUCCCUUGGGGGUGAAAAGCCCAGGAGAGGCAGCUGGCGGGGGCGAGCGGAGGCACCAGGAGCAUUGGGAGACUCAUGAAGCAGCAGGGCAGUACCUAUGGCUCCCCUACUUCCAUACAGAUAAGCCACAGGCAGAAAGUACUUUGCAGUCUGUUGCACCUGGAUCUGCAAACAUUACUCCUUAGGGCUCACCUCAUGGACAGAAGGAGCUCCCGGAUUUGUGGCGACUGGUUUGUGCUUGCAUCCACCCAACCAACUCACCGAAGAUGGGAGAGGUAGCUGCCAGCUGAACUUCAGCAAACUGGAGCACGAGAGCCUGCUCCAGCUUUGACUAUGUCCAACCUAGCAAGUCACAGAGACAACAGAAAU